AGAUUGAACGCUGGCGGCAUGCCUAACACAUGCAAGUCGAGCGGCAGCGCGGGGGCAACCCUGGCGGCGAGCGGCGGACGGGUGAGUAAGGCAUCGGAAUCUGCCCUGAUGUGGGGGAUAACGUAGGGAAACUUACGCUAAUACCGCAUACGACCGAGAGGUGAAAGCGGGGGACCGAAAGGCCUCGCGCAGACGAGGAGUCGAGUCCGACUGUUCCGAUUAGUCGUGGUUGGUAGGGGUAAAGGUCCCUAACGAAGGCGACGAGUCGGUAGCGUGGUCU
rnacentral:rRNA from 1 species